GUCUAUAGCCAUACCAGCCUGAACAUGCCCAGUCUCCUCUGAUCUAGGAAGCUAAGCAGGGUAAGGACUGCUUAGUACUUGGAUGGAAGAAAGGACUUAUAGAAA
rnacentral:rRNA from 1 species